GUCAGUUCCUCCAGCCGCGCAUGGGAGGGGUCCGCCUACCCAGCCAGCUGGAAGGAGAC
rnacentral:miRNA from 1 species